rnacentral:rRNA from 1 species
AAAGAUUAAGCCAUGCAUGUCUAAGUAUAAGCAAUCUAUACUGUGAAACUGCGAAUGGCUCAUUAAAUCAGUUAUCGUUUAUUUGAUAGUACCUUACUACAUGGAUACCUGUGGUAAUUCUAGAGCUAAUACAUGCUAAAAACCCCGACUUCGGGAGGGGUGUAUUUAUUAGAUAAAAAACCAAUGCCCCUCGGGGCUCCUUGGUGAUUCAUAAUAACUUAACGAAUCGCAUGGCCUUGCGCCGGCGAUGGUUCAUUCAAAUUUCUGCCCUAUCAACUUUCGAUGGUAGGAUAGUGGCCUACCAUGGUGGCAACGGGUAACGGGGAAUUAGGGUUCGAUUCCGGAGAGGGAGCCUGAGAAACGGCUACCACAUCCAAGGAAGGCAGCAGGCGCGCAAAUUACCCAAUCCCGACACGGGGAGGUAGUGACAAUAAAUACUGAUACGGGGCUCUUUUGGGUCUCGUAAUUGGAAUGAGAACA